rnacentral:rRNA from 1 species
UGGGGAAUCUUGCGCAAUGGGCGAAAGCCUGACGCAGCCAUGCCGCGUGAAUGAUGAAGGUCUUAGGAUUGUAAAAUUCUUUCACCGGGGACGAUAAUGACGGUACCCGGAGAAGAAGCCCCGGCUAACUUCGUGCCAGCAGCCGCGGUAAUACGAAGGGGGCUAGCGUUGCUCGGAAUUACUGGGCGUAAAGGGAGCGUAGGCGGACAUUUAAGUCAGGGGUGAAAUCCCGGGGCUCAACCUCGGAAUUGCCUUUGAUACUGGGUGUCUUGAGUAUGAGAGAGGUGUGUGGAACUCCGAGUGUAGAGGUGAAAUUCGUAGAUAUUCGGAAGAACACCGGUGGCGAAGGCGACACACUGGCUCAUUACUGACGCUGAGGCUCGAAAGCGUGGGGAGCAAACAGGAUUAGAUACCCUGGUAGUCCACGCCGUANCGAUGAUUGCUAGUUGUCGGGAUGCAUGCAUUUCGGUGACGCAGCUACGCAUUAAGCAAUCCGCCUGGGGAGUAUGGUCGCAAGAUU